UUAACAUCUGUACAUCAUUUCCAUUUUCUCAAUUUCACAUCUGGAAAAGAGGGUCUACUCGGUAGACGUAACCAUACGAUUGGACCACCGCUUGAAAACAUAGAAGAUAUCGUUCACCCUUCUUCCAUCUGUUUAUAUAGCAACGAUGUUAUUUAAACGAUUGUUUGAAGUAUAGCAAUUAGCGACGUAAAGACGACGACGAGGAUGGUGUUGGGAGUGAGUAUACAGCUGUUGCUGGAUUUAACAGUUGCCGGUUUUUCGCUGAUGAUUGGGUUUGGGAUUUUCGUUUUGACCGCUAUGGUUCUCUGCUCUGCGGCUUUCUUUCACAACGCUAAAGCCCACUCUUCAUGAAUUUCGUCACUGGGAACAAAAAUCAAAUGAUGAAGGUUUGCUUUAAGAAUAAACUCCAUGAGAUGUAUUAGCAACUGCCCUAUCCUACUAUGUAUCUUGUAAAUUUUGAUGUGCUUAGAAUAUAUGUAGCAUCACUGUAUUACUUGUUUCAAAUCUAAUAAAGGGUAAAAAAAAUCCGCAUGUUAAAACGGGUCCUGUCAAGAUAAUUGAGUUGAAAUGGAUCAUUUUAGAAAAGAAAUUAAAUGAUGAAAAACAAUAAUUAUAGCAGCUAUAAUAAUUAUACGAUACAACAUAUAACUAGCGGAUCUCUAGACUGCAUUUUACUAAACCAAAAGUGUUUCUUUAUAUCUUAUCUUUAACUCAACUCAAAGAGAGUACUUCUUACCCGUGUGGCUUUAAGCGGGAGAGGUAUUCCGGUGUCCGAUGUUUCAUGUCCUUUAUGCGGCAUGGGGAAGAGUCCGUGGAUCAUCUGUUUACAGCUUGUGUGGUGGCUACUCGUCUCUGGCAGUGUGUGAGCAGGUGGUGCAAGAUUCCGCAUUUCUUCGCGUUUAGCUUCAAAGACAUCUUGGAGGCUUCAAGGGGUAGCGGUCUGCGUGAGCCAAGUAGGCUGGCCCUUCAAGGUAUUAUGGUGAUUAGCAGUUGGUGCCUCUAGAAAGCCAGGAAUAGUCUCAUUUUCUCCGGUAAGGAGGUCAAGAUGGAAGAAAUUUUCAGUGAGGUUAGGUCUCGGAGCUUUCUCUGGUUCAAGUAUAGAUCUAAGUUGAAGUUGGUGUCUUGGAAUGAUUGGUGUAAAUUUGUAUUUAUGUAAUCUUUGUCUCUUGUUGUUUUGUGCGCCCUGUUUUGGGGUUGCCGUUUUCUAAUGAAG
rnacentral:lncRNA from 1 species